UGGUGGUCAGUCACCCUGCUGUUAUUUAUCUAGGACUUGCACUGUUUUCCCUUCUCAAAUAACAGCUCUCCUUUGACCAGCACAGUCAGCCUCUGGUGUGCAGAUGCCAGAAGGGAAAGGAGAAUUUUACUGUCUCACCACCCUUAAGAUACCAAGAACCAGGGUGGACUCGCCAUGCAUUUCUCUGCCCGACAGUGGCGACAGCUGAGCCCGCAUAGCUUCUGGCACGUGCCAGGCAACCGAGAGGCUGCAGAACUCCCUGGGCAGAGGGGCCUUUUCGCAGAAAGGAUACAUCACGCCUGCAUAAGUCCUGACAAGAACAUUCUGGGAAAAUAGGAGGCUGUCUCCAAAUUGAUGACUUCUCAGAAACAGUUGGAAAGGCCAGGACCUGAUCACCAGCUGAUGAAUGAGUAAUCGUGACGUGCCUGUCCACACAAAGGGAGAGCCACUCAGCCAUGACAAGGAAGUGCUGACUUAAGCCACAACAAGGCUACUGAGAACUCGAGGCUCUGAAGACGCAUUGGCAUUUUGGUCACAUAGGCUGUAAAGAAGUGGCCCUCCAACUACCCCUGUCCUGGGAUCCCUUGGAAAGAUGGCCCUGAGAAGAGAAUAAUCCAUAAGGUUUGAUAGCCUGAAAGGAAUCAUGACUUUAGAUUGUGUUGGUCGUUGGAAUUUAAAGGCAAAACUCACAGAACAUGGAAUCAUCGCACUUAAAAUGUAUCUGGAAAUGCACAGAAAAACUCAAAGACCAGGUAACUAAUUUGAUGUCUACACAUCGAUCUUUCAAUCAGAAUAGCUAUUGCCAAUAUCGUGUGAAAAAAUUAUAACAAUGCCAUUUACUGCAUUUAACCUGCUUUACUAUUUAUUUGUUCGUAGUUCAUCUGUUUGUAUGUGAUAUAAUGGUAAGCAUAAGAGGGGUUUAAUGUUUUAAAUUAAGGAGACUUAGUAAUUUGUUAGCUGGGGCUUAGAGAUAGAAUUGAGAAUGGUCAGAAAACCUGUGACAUGCCGGAAGAGGAGAAUGCAUCGUGACGCGGACAUCAGACAUUUAAGAAGCACACUACAAACCCGGGUGACUACUCAAUGACUCAACUGUUUACAUGCAGUGUUAAAUGAGGCCCUUCCCACCCACUCCCCCUGAUUUCAAGGUUAAUAGUUGGUGAGAAGGCAGAGGGUAUUUGAUCACUAAUAGUCUCUACCAACUUCACUCUAUCUUCUGUUUUCACUGUCUGCAGCUCCAAGUGGGAGGGACGGAUCAUAGUCACAGGUUUCCAAUGCUCCAGAGGCCAAGGGAAGAUAAAGUAAGGAUGAUGAGGACGGCCCAUCCCCAGAGCCUGAGAGAUGACAAAGACAAACGACGGCACAAAUGCGAACAGACGCCUGAUCAUAAAACCCAGAGACACAGAUUAAUCCUACAUCUACCCUUAAGCCAUUAUCUGCCACUGUCAGCUACCAGAGCCACAACCAGUCUCUCUAAGCCAAUAUAUUCUGAAUCCAUUUACAACUUCUAAUUGCACACAUUAAGAUUAAGCAGCAGCCAAGUAGGUCUCCAGAGCAAAACGCUUUCUAAGGAGUGUUUAAAAUCUCCUGGCUGUUCCCUUAAUCAUUCAAUAGCAAGACCAACGAAACAGUCAACCCUGAGACUACAGAACGUGACGACAAAUCAUUCUCCUACUGGAAAUUAUGAAUCUUAGUUACAAUGCCAUUGCGUCCUGUCAUAGAUUGAAGACAGACUGGCUUUACAACAGGAAAUUGAAAAUGGGCCCCCUCAUUCUGAAUAAUGGUACAUGUAACUGACAUGACAAAGCAGCUGAGGUCGCGUGGGUUCAUCUGUAACACUGAGAACAACCAUGCUAGUGUGGCUGAGAUUGAUGAGUAUACUAUGAAAAUCAUUUCUGAUAAAAUGCUUGGAAAUUUUUCUUUUCAAUAGAACUUAAAACUGACACAUAGAGUAUGUGGUAGAGGCUUUGUUUCAAGUCUUUUUUGUUUCAUUUUAUUUUAUUUUAAGUUCCGGGAUACAUGUGCAGGAUGUCCAGGUUUACUGCAUAG